rnacentral:misc_RNA from 1 species
CAUCUUCAGAUGAUGAUCCCAAGCCGUUUGGCGAUCUAGACAAAACAAGUCCACCGUGGGCUUUGAAAAACGCUUUCCUUGAUAAAAUUUAAGCGUUUUAUAAGAGGAUGCCGGGGAAGGUCUUCCGGUUUAUCCCGGAGGGCUUGUAGCUCAGUUGGUUAGAGCGCGCGCUUGAUAAGCGUGAGGUCGGAGGUUCAAGUCCUUCCAGGCCCCCCCAAAAACAUCUUUUCUUGUUUGUUUUUGAAGAAUGGCCUGCCCACUGUCUAAAAAUUGAAGGGAAAAAAAGGGUUUACAAAAAGAAGGUCGCCAAUGCCCCACUCCUUUCAUUCCCUCCCGUUAUGCAUAAAUAACCCACACAUCGGCCGUAUCGGAAAAAUGGCAUUCUAUAUAGUGUUUUGUCAAACCACCAAGCCAUUUAAGAAUUAUAGCUCAAAAACCCAACUCAAUAAUCCAAUCCUUCUAUUCAUUCAUUCUUUUCAUAACCAUCAGCCCGAUCACCCUUGCCCUUUUUUUCUGGCAUCUCGUGUAACGUCUCAGAG